CGGGUGAGUAACACGUAUGCAACCUGCCUGCCACAGCCGGAUAAUCGGGAGAAAUUCCGUCUAAUACGGCAUAAUGCAUCGACGGGACAUCCUGUUGGUGCCAAAGGUUGAUUCCGGNGGCGGAUGGGCAUGCGUCGCAUUAGUUAGUUGGCGGUGUAACGGACCACCAAGACGACGAUGCGUAGGGGUUCUGAGAGGAAGGUCCCCCACACUGGUACUGAGACACGGACCAGACUCCUACGGGAGGCAGCAG
rnacentral:rRNA from 1 species